GUGGUAUUCAAAAACAAAAAGAAAGAAACGAAAUUCAAGAACCCCAGAUCAAUAGAAUCCUUGAAGAAGCAUAAAUAGAGAUUGGGGUGGGAAAAUAAUCACAUAAGAUCUUUAAUAAACCCUAAAAGAGGAGGAAUUUUAGGUUAGAGAAGAAGCGGAGCAAAGUUAGGGAUAAAUUUGGAGUGAAAAUGGAUUAUCGAAAAACCCUCGAGUUGGGAACUGAGUGGGGGAUCGAGGGAGAACAGAUACAGAGGUGAAACGAUCAUGCACAGUGGGGUUUA
rnacentral:misc_RNA from 1 species